rnacentral:misc_RNA from 1 species
AGCAGCCGCGGUAAUUCCAGCUCCAAUAGCGUAUAUUAAAGUUGUUGCAGUUAAAAAGCUCGUAGUUGAAUUUCGGGAUCAAUGCGUCGGUCGUGCUUUCGGGUACGUACUGGUGUCAUUGGUUUCUCCUUUCUGACGAGCCGUGAUGUCAUUAAUUUGGUGUUACGGGUAGUUAGGACUGUUACUUUGAAAAAAUUAGAGUGUUUAAAGCAGGCAUUAGCUUGAAUACAUUAGCAUGGAAUAAUGAAAUAGGACGUUCGAUCCUAUUUUGUUGGUUUCUAGGAUCAACGUAAUGAUUAAUAGGGAUAGUUGGGAGCAUUAGUAUUCAAUUGUCAGAGGUGAAAUUCUUGGAUUUAUUGAAGACUAACUACUGCGAAAGCAUUUGCCAAGGAUGUUUUCAUUAAUCAAGAACGAAAGUUAGGGGAUCGAAGACGAUCAGAUACCGUCGUAGUCUUAACCAUAAACUAUGCCGACUAGGGAUCGGAUGAUGUUAAUUUUUAAUGACUCAUUCGGCGCCUUA